GUAUUGGUGGUUCAGUGGUAGAAUUCUCACCUUCCAUGUGGGAGACUGGGGUUCAAUCCCUGGUCAACGCA
rnacentral:tRNA from 1 species